rnacentral:rRNA from 1 species
AGAGUUUGAUCCUGGCUCAGGAUGAACGCUAGCGGCAGGCCUAACACAUGCAAGUCGAGGGGCAUCACGGAAAAGCUUGCUUUUCUGGUGGCGACCGGCGCACGGGUGCGGAACGCGUAUGGAACCUGCCCCUGUCAGGGGAAUAGCCCAGGGAAACUUGGAUUAAUGCCCCAUGGUACCGUUAUAUCGCAUGAUAUUUCGGUUAAAGAUUUAUCGGACAGGGAUGGCCAUGUGUACCAUUAGUUAGUUGGUGGGGUAACGGCCCACCAAGGCAGCGAUGGUUAGGGGCCCUGAGAGGGGGAUCCCCCACACUGGUACUGAGACACGGACCAGACUCCUACGGGAGGCAGCAGUGAGGAAUAUUGGACAAUGGGCGGGAGCCUGAUCCAGCCAUGCCGCGUGCAGGAUGACGGCCCUAUGGGUUGUAAACUGCUUUUAUACGGGAAGAAACGCACCUACGUGUAGGUGUCUGACGGUACCGUAAGAAUAAGGACCGGCUAACUCCGUGCCAGCAGCCGCGGUAAUACGGAGGGUCCGAGCGUUAUCCGGAAUCAUUGGGUUUAAAGGGUCCGUAGGCGGGCCUGUAAGUCAGGGGUGAAAGUUUGUGGCUCAACCAUAAAAUUGCCUUUGAUACUGCAGGUCUUGAGUCAUGGUGGGGUCGCCGGAACAUGUGGUGUAGCGGUGAAAUGCAUAGAUAUCACAUAGAACACCGAUCGCGAAGGCAGGUGACCAACCAUGUACUGACGCUGAUGGACGAAAGCGUGGGUAGCGAACGGGAUUAGAUACCCCGAUAGUCCACGCCGUAAACGAUGGAUACUAGCUGUGGGGACUUCGGUCUCCGUGGCCAAGCGAAAGUGAUAAGUAUCCCACCUGGGGAGUACGUUCGCAAGAAUGAAACUCAAAGGAAUUGGACGGGGGCCCGCACAAGCGGUGGAGCAUGUGGUUUAAUUCGAUGAUAC